rnacentral:pre_miRNA from 1 species
AAACUACUCCCUCUGUUCCGAAUUACUUGUCGCAAGUAUGGAUGUAUCUAGAUGUAUUUUAGUUCUAGAUACAUCCAUUUCUACGACAGGUAAUUUGGAACGGAGGGAAUACAUA